UACGUAGGGACCAAGCGUUGUUCGGAUUUACUGGGCGUAAAGGGCGCGUAGGCGGGUCUGUAAAUCGAAUGUGAAAUCCCCGGGCUUAACCUGGGAAUGGCAUUCGAAACUGCAGAUCUUGGAUGCCUGAGAGGAUGGCGGAAUUCCCGGUGUAGAAGUGAAAUUCGUAGAUAUCGGGAAGAACACCUGAGGCGAAGGCGGCUGUCUGGCGGUGCAUCGACGCUGAGGCGCGAAAGCGUGGGGAGCAAACAGG
rnacentral:rRNA from 1 species